UGACCCAUAACAGCUCAGUUGGUAGAACGUGAGAUGCUUAAUCUCAGGGUCGUGGGUUCGAACCCCAGGUGGGACAU